CAGCACCCAGACCCCACAG
rnacentral:ncRNA from 2 species